GCAGCCUCGUGAGAGUGAGCAAAGCACAAAAAUACCGUCCCAGUUCGGAUUGUAGUCUGCAACCCGACUACAUGAAGCUGGAAUCGCUAGUAAUCGCAAAUCAGAAUGUUGCGGUGAAUACGUUCCCGGGUCUUGUACACACCGCCCGUCACACCAUGGGAGCCGGUAAUACCCGAAGCCUGUGAGCUAACAUUAAGAGGCAGCAGUCGAAGGUAGAAUCAAUGAUUGGGGUGAAGUCGUAACAAGGUAAC
rnacentral:rRNA from 1 species